AUGCCGAAGGAAAUUCUGUUAAAGCAGUUCCCUGAGGAACUAAGACAAAAAUAUUUCAGGCUGCAGCUCUCGCAGCUCCCCACAGACCCCAUAGAAGAGCAGUUUCCUGUUUUGAACGUGACCCGGUACUAUAAUGCCAAUGGGGAUGUGGUGGAAGAGGAGGAGAAUUCCUGCACCUACUAUGAAUGCCACUACCCACCCUGCACGGCCAUCGAGAAGCAGCUCCGGGAGGUCAACAUCUGCGGGCGCUGCCAGGUGGCCCGGUACUGCGGCUCCCAGUGCCAGCAGAAGGACUGGCCUGCCCACAAGAAGCACUGUCGGGAGAGGAAGCGUCCCUUCCAGCAUGAGCUCGAGGCAGAACGAUGACGGGCAGUGGAGCUGCCACGCUGCAGGCUCAUGGCUUCCGGCUCUUCCGUGGACACAGCGGAGACUGGCAGUUCAGUCUGGAGGUGCUGAGGAAGCCAGUGUCUGGUCCAGAACAGCCACCAUGAAGCUCCCUAUGGCACACAAAGUCUGUGGGGACGGCGCCCCUCCAGUGUUAAAUCUCCAGCGGAGACAAGGGGAGAUCCCCCAGGACGUUUCUCAUUAUUUAUAUGUUAAUAUGUUUGUAAACUCAUGUACAGUUUUUUUUUUGGGGGGGAGACAAGGGGAUGGUUAGAAACCACAAAUAGAA